rnacentral:rRNA from 1 species
AUUGAACGCUGGCGGCAGGCCUAACACAUGCAAGUCGAACGAGUGGCGGACGGGUGAGUAAUUUCUGGGCAACUGCCCGAUGGAGGGGGCUCACUCCUGGAAACGGUCGCUCAUACCGCAUACCCUCGGAUGUGCCCAGAUGGGAUUCGCUAGUAGGUGGGGUAACGGCUCACCUGGGGGACGAUCCCUAGCUGGUCUGAGAGGAUGACCGGCAACACUGGAACUGAGACACGGUCCAGACUCCUACGGGAGGCAGAAGUGGGGAAUAUUGCACAAUGGGCGAAAGCCUGAUGCAGCCAUGCGGGGUGUAUGAAGAGGGCCUUCGGGUUGUAAAGUACUUUCAGCGAGGAGGCGUUACUCGCAGAAGAAGCACCGGCUAACUCCGUGCCAGCAGCCGCGGUAAUUC